rnacentral:rRNA from 1 species
UACGGAGGGUGCGAGCGUUGUCCGGAAUCACUGGGCGUAAAGGGCGCGUAGGCGGCUGGGGAAGUCGGCGGUGAAAGCCCGGAGCUCAACUCCGGGUCGGCCGUCGAGACUCCUCGGCUCGAGCUCACUAGAGGCAGAUGGAAUUCCGGGUGUAGCGGUGGAAUGCGUAGAGAUCCGGAAGAACACCAGUGGCGAAGGCGGCCCGCUGGGCAGUGGCUGACGCUGAAGCGCGACAGCGUGGGGAGCAAACAGG